rnacentral:rRNA from 1 species
AACGAACGCUGGCGGCAUGCCUAACACAUGCAAGUCGAACGAAGUCUUCGGACUUAGUGGCGCACGGGUGCGUAACGCGUGGGAAUCUGCCCUUGGGUACGGAAUAACUCAGAGAAAUUUGUGCUAAUACCGUAUAAUGUCUUCGGACCAAAGAUUUAUCGCCCAAGGAUGAGCCCGCGUAAGAUUAGCUAGUUGGUGGGGUAAAAGCCUACCAAGGCGACGAUCUUUAGCUGGUCUGAGAGGAUGAUCAGCCACACUGGGACUGAGACACGGCCCAGACUCCUACGGGAGGCAGCAGUGGGGAAUAUUGGACAAUGGGCGAAAGCCUGAUCCAGCAAUGCCGCGUGAGUGAUGAAGGCCCUAGGGUUGUAAAGCUCUUUUACAAGGGAUGAUAAUGACAGUACCUGGAGAAUAAGCUCCGGCUAACUCCGUG